UCGAGGAUCUUCGUCAAUGGGCGCAAGCCUGAACGAGCGACGCCGCGUGCGCGAUGAAGGCCUUCGGGUUGUAAAGCGCGAAAGUGGAAAGAAAGCGAAAGUUGAUCAAUCCACAGUAAGGACGGGCUAAGUUCGUGCCAGCAGCCGCGGUAAGACGAACUGUCCAAACGUUGUUCGGAAUCACUGGGCUUAAAGGGCGCGUAGGCGGUCGGCCAAGUCAGGGGUGAAAUCCUGCAGCUUAACUGUAGAAGUGCCUUUGAUACUGGUCGUCUCGAGGGAGGUAGGGGUGUGUGGAACUCACAGUGGAGCGGUGAAAUGCGUUGAUAUUGUGAGGAACGCCGGAGGCGAAAGCGACGCACUGGACCUCUUCUAACGCUGAGGCGCGAAAGCCAGGGGAGCAAACGGGAUUAGAUACCCCCGUAGUCC
rnacentral:rRNA from 1 species